AUACAUUUUAUAGUGAAACAAAAUGCAAAUACAUCUCAGAAUUUAUUCUGCCAUCAUAUUUUUGAAAGUAACACUGUUAUUAUUACUUUGAAAUUAGACAUGUAUGUUGAAUAUAGAUAGAUGUUGAUGUAACAAAUAGGUAAUUACGCUAAAGUUAGAUUUUUCAGUAUAAAAGAAUAAGGAAAUGCAAAUUCAAAAUCAAAAAAAUUUUAUAACCAUUUAAAAUAAUAAACAUGAAUUUUAAAUAUCAAUGUAAGUUUAUGAAUUUUAAAUCCACCUUAUUUCUGUCAGUGAAAUGGAAGUAUGAACAUAUGAACUAAGCAGCCAAGAUGACCAAGCUUAAUGUCGUCCCAUGACAAGUCCCAUGUAUCAACGCUGGCCUAGCUACUGUGCCUGUGAGAAUUCAACCUGUCAUGACAGAUUGAUGUUGAGCUCUGGGUAAGGUAUGCGCUAUUGCUUACAGAGACCAACAAGUCACUUGGUGACAAAUUAAGCAGCAUGUGUGUGGGCUGCUCUUCUACUUUGCCCCUAGCAAGGCCGUACACUAUUAACCGUCUUCACAAAUCUUUGUCAGUUAGGCCCGUUGUCUUGCCCUUUGACCUUGCCAGUCUUAACAGUAGUUGCAGCCUCCUGGCAGUUAAGUGCUGACUCCUGACCUCUAUCACGUUGGGGUCCGUCCCAUCAUCCAGCUUUGUGGCUGCCCCUCCUAUGUCAGCCCUGGUCUGCAGAGAAAAACUUCUUCUUGAUGUCAGUGUCCCCUCGCCUCAUGGUCUUGGUGAAUGAUGAGCCUUCUGGUCUUUCCCAUGGUUUGGGACUACAUGUGCAGUUUUGUUAUAUAGGUAAGCUCUGUCAUGGGGGUCUGCUGUACAGAUUAUUUCAUCAAGAGGUGACUUGGCUGCUGUUAAAGGCAUUCAGUCUCAUAAGAGAAGCAGAGCACAAAAGUUUGGAAAAUUUGCAGCCUGCCAAUUUUAUAGAAAAUAAUAUUCCAUUUUCUGAGGAGAAAUUCAAGCCAGCUGCAGAAAUGUGCAUAAAUAAUGAGAAGUCAAAUGUUAAUUCCUAAGACAAUGCGGAAAAUGUCUCCAGGGCACGUCAGAGGUUUUCACAGCAGCCCCUCUCAUCACAGGCCCAGAGGCCUAGGAGGAAAAAAAAAUGGUUUUGUUGCCUGGGCCAAGGGUCCCUGUGCUGUGUGCAGCCUAGAGACUUGGUGCCCUGAGUUCCAGCCACUCCUGCUGUGGCUGAAAGUGGCCAAUGUAGAGUUCAGGCCAUGGCUUCAGAGGGUGCAAACUCAAAGCCUUGGCAGCUUCCGUGUGGUAUUGAGCCUGUGAGUGCACAGAAGCCAGGAAUCAGGGUUUGGGAACCUCCACUUAGGUUUCAGAUUUAUAGAAAUGCCUGGAUGCCCAGGCAGAAGUUUGCUACAGGGGCAGGGCCCUAAUGGAGAACGUCUGCUAGGGCAGUGCAGAAGAGAAAUGUGGGGUCAAAGCCCCCACACAGAGUCCCUACUGGGGCACUGCCUAGUGGAGCUGUGAGAAGAGGGCAACCAUCCUCCAGACCAGACUGGUAGAUGCACUGACAGCUUGCACCAUUCACCUGGAAAAGCCACAGACACUCAAAGCCAGCCCAUGAAAGCAGCUGGGAGAGAGGCUGUACCCUGAAGAGCCACAGGGCUGGAACUACCCAAGACCAUGGGAACCCACCUCUUGCAUCAGCAUGACUUGGAUGUGAGAAAUGGAGUCAAAGGAGAUCAUUUUGCAGCUUUAAGAUUUGACUGCUCUGCUGGAUUUUGGACUUGAAUGGGGCCUGUAGCCCCUUUGCUUUGGCCAAUUUCUCCCAUUUGGAAUGACUGUAUUUACCCAAUGCCUGCACCCACAUUGUGUCUAGGAAGUAACUAACCUGCUUUUGAUUUUACAGGCUCAUAGGUGGAAGAGACUUGCCUUGUCUCAGAUGAGACGUUGGACUAUGGACUUUUGAGUUAAUGCUAAAAUUAGUUAAAAUUUUGAGGAACUGUUGGGAAAGCAUGAUUAGUUUUGAAAUGUGAGGACAUGAGAUUUUGGAACGGCCAGGACUGAAAUUAUAUGGUUUGGCUGUGGACCCAUGCAAAUCUUCUCUUGAAUUGUACCUCCCACAAUUCCCAUGUGUUGUGGGAGGAACCCGGUGGAAGGUGAUUGAAUUAUGGAGGUGGGUCUUUUCUGUGCUAUUCUCGUGAUGGUGAAUGAGUCUCACAAGAUCUGACAGUUUUAAAAAUGAGAGUUUCCCCACACAAGCUCUCUUUUUGCCUACUGCCCUCCAUGUAAUACAUGACUUGCUCCUCCUUGCCUUCCACCAUGAUUGCAAGGCCUCCAUGUGAAACUGUAACUCCA
rnacentral:lncRNA from 1 species